CCUACGGGUGGCAGCAGUGGGGAAUAUUGCACAAUGGGGGGAACCCUGAUGCAGCGACGCCGCGUGGGUGAAGGAGUAUUUCGGUAUGUAAAGCCCUAUCAGCAGGGAAGAACAAUGACGGUACCUGACUAAGAAGCACCGGCUCAAUACGUGCCAGCAGCCGCGGUAAUACUGAUGGUGCAAGCGUUAUCCGGAUUUACUGGGUGUAAAGGGAGCGCAGGCGGCGCGUUAAGCCUGGUGUGAAAGCCCGCGGCCCAACCGGGGGACUGCAGUGGAAACUGGCGCGCUGGAGUGCCGGAGGGGUAGGCGGAAUUCCGAGUGUAGCGGUGAAAUGCGUAGAUAUCAGGAGGAACACCGGCGGCGAAGGCGGCCUGCUGGACCGCGACUGACGUUGAGGCUCGAAAGCGUGGGGAGCGAACAGGAUUAGAUACCCGGGUAGUC
rnacentral:rRNA from 1 species